ACACUUUUAGUCUGCCCUUUGUGGCUGCUGUGUCACGUGUGUAUCCAUAGGACGCAGGAAAGAGAGAGGUUAUGUCUAUGUUCAGUGUUCUGUCCUGUGUACAUCUGAAUGAUUAGUAGCCCAAUGCU